rnacentral:rRNA from 1 species
AGCAGCCGCGGUAAUUCCAGCUCCAAUAGCGUAUAUUAAAGUUGUUGCAGUUAAAAAGCUCGUAGUUGAAUUUCGGGGUUCUACCGUUGGUCGGGCAAUUGUCUGUACUGGCGUGUGGAAUUUCUACCUUCUGGGGAACCAUCAUGUUAUUAAUUUAGCGUGGUGGGAAACCAGGACCUUUACCUUGAAAAAAUUAGAGUGUUCAAAGCAGGCUUACGUCUGAAUACAUUAGCAUGGAAUAAUAAAAUAGGACGGUGGUCCUGUUUUGUUGGUUUCUGAAUCACCGUAAUGAUUAAUAGGGAUAGUUGGGGGCAUUAGUAUUCAAUUGUCAGAGGUGAAAUUCUUGGAUUUAUUGAAGACUAACUUCUGCGAGAGCAUUUGCCAAGGAUGUUUUCAUUAAUCAAGAACGAAAGUUAGGGGAUCGAAGACGAUCAGAUACCGUCGUAGUCU